rnacentral:rRNA from 1 species
UACGUAGGGGGCAAGCGUUGUCCGGAUUUAUUGGGCGUAAAGAGCGUGUAGGCGGCCAUACAGGUCCGUUGUGAAAACUGGAGGCUUAACCUCCAGACGUCGAUGGAAACCGUAUGGCUAGAGUCCGGAAGAGGAGAGUGGAAUUCCUGGUGUAGCGGUGAAAUGCGCAGAUAUCAGGAAGAACACCGAUGGCGAAGGCAGGUCUCUGGGCCAUAACUGACGCUGAGAAGCGAAAGCAUGGGGAGCGAACAGG